GACGAACGCUGGCGGCGUGCUUAACACAUGCGAGUCGAACGGAAAGGCCCUGCUUUUGUGGGGUGCUCGAGUGGCGAACGGGUGAGUAACACGUGAGUAACCUGCCCUUGACUUUGGGAUAACUUCAGGAAACUGGGGCUAAUACCGGAUAGGAGCUCCUGCUGCAUGGUGGGGGUUGGAAAGUUUGGGCGGUUGGGGAUGGACUCGCGGCUUAUCAGCUUGUUGGUGGGGUAGUGGCUUACCAAGGCUUGGACGGGUAGCCGGCCUGAGAGGGUGACCGGCCACAUUGGGACUGAGAUACGGCCCAGACUCCUACGGGAGGCAGCAGUGGGGAAUAUUGCACAAUGGGCGGAAGCCUGAUGCAGCAACGCCGCGUGCGGGAUGACGGCCUUCGGGUUGUAAACCGCUUUCGCCUGUGACGAAGCGUGAGUGACGGUAAUGGGUAAAGAAGCACCGGCUAACUACGUG
rnacentral:rRNA from 1 species